GGUGCUGUGGUCUAGUGGUAUGACGAAGCAUUGUGGCUGCUUUAGCCCCGGUUCGAUUCCGGGCAGCGCCA